rnacentral:lncRNA from 1 species
CCUACUUAUAGUUUAACAAAUUGAACUAACUAGCCUAAAUGCAAAUAACCUAAAAUCAUUUGUUUUCAGGCUAGAUUUACGAUUUAAGCAAACAUCCUAUAUACAUGAUCCUAAUCAAUCACUUGUAUUUCUACAAGCUCAAGCACACACAAAACAUAAAAAGAUUAACUCUAAAAAUUACUAAAAAUAACGAAAAAAAUUAAAAAUUCCUAAAAAUUUUGUCACUUCCCCACACUUUAUUUAGCACAU